rnacentral:lncRNA from 1 species
UGAGAAGGGAUGAGGCUUUGGGAUCUGUGCAACUAAGAUGGUAUGCUUUGAGAUCUGAGAGACAAAUAAUUGAAGGGAUUUUAUUGUUUUUGAAAUUAAAAUAGGAGAAUUGGAUUAUGUGGAAAAAGAGUUGGAACGAGUGGGAAGAAAUUUAGGUGAACUUGUGAAGAGUCAGGAAUUAAUGGGAAGCACUGGGUUUUG